GGGAAAGAUGCCUCUCUAUCCAUGGGC
rnacentral:piRNA from 1 species